rnacentral:rRNA from 1 species
UACAGAGGGGGCUAGCGUUGUUCGGAAUUACUGGGCGUAAAGGGCGCGUAGGCGGCCUGUUAAGUCGAACGUGAAAUCCCCGGGCUCAACCCGGGAACUGCGUCCGAUACUGGCAGGCUUGAAUCCGGGAGAGGGAUGUGGAAUUGGGGGUGUAGCGGUGGAAUGCGUAGAGAUCCCCAAGAACACCAGUUGCGAAGGCGGCUGACUGGACACAUAUUGACGCUGAGGCUCGAAAGCAUGGGGAGCAAACAGG